CGCAUCUACAUUUGAAUAUUGUUUGAUCUACCUCCUGUUAAGAAGCUGUCUGUGCAGGCUUUUGGAUUCCUCCUCUCUCUUCCAGUCUUUUUAGCUCAUUCAGGUUCUCCUGUGUCAGUUGUCUGUAUGAUCUGCACUGUCAGCAUAAAGAGAAUGGUGGCCAUAUAAAUGCCUCACCUGGUUUCUUAGCUUAGCCCAGAGUGCUGGAAUGGCCUCCUUGCUACCUAAAUACACCUCUCUUUCCCACGCCAAGCAACUCCAAGCCCACCUCAUAACCACUGGCCAAUUUCAGUUUCGAAUCUGUCCUUCUCGCUCCAAGCUCCUCGAACUCUAUACUCUGUCUUUCGACAGCCUCUCGUUUGCCAUUCAUACUUUCUGCCAGAUCCUUACCCCCUCCACCAAUGACUGGAACGCCAUCCUCCGUGGCCUCAUCGGAAGCCCCGCCCCCACUGAUGCCUUUCUUUGGUACAAAACCAUGAUUCGUGGAUCCUACAGAGUUGAUGCCCUGACCUGCUCUUUUGUUUUAAAAGCUUGUGCUCGCGUUUUAGCUUUUUCUGAGUCUAUACAGUUGCAUUCCCAUAUUGUGCGUAAAGGGUUCUUGGCUGAUGCUUUGUUGGGUACUACAUUGGUAGAUUUGUAUGCAAAAGUUGGUGAUCUCGAUAGUGCAGAGAGGGUGUUUGAUGAAAUGGUGAAGAGAGAUAUUGCUUCGUGGAAUGCAUUGAUUUCUGGCUUUGCUCAAGGAAGUAAGCCUACUGAAGCUUUGGCUUUGUUUAAGAGAACGGAAAUUAUGGGGUUUAAGCCUAACGAAAUUACAGUUCUUGGCGCUCUCUCCGCAUGCUCGCAAUUGGGAGCUUUUAAAGAAGGUGAAAAGAUUCACGCAUACAUUAGAGAGGAAAGGUUAGAUAUGAAUGUGCAAGUUUGUAAUGCAGUUAUCGACACGUAUGCCAAAUGUGGCUUUGCGGAUAAGGCAUACUUGGUUUUUGAGAGUAUGA
rnacentral:misc_RNA from 1 species